rnacentral:rRNA from 1 species
GUGGGGAAUCUUCCACAAUGGACGAAAGUCUGAUGGAGCAACGCCGCGUGAGUGAAGAAGGGUUUCGGCUCGUAAAGCUCUGUUGUCGGGGACGAAUGUGCAGUAUUUGAAUAAAGUAGUGCAAUGACGGUACCUGACGAGGAAGCCACGGCUAACUACGUGCCAGCAGCCGCGGUAAUACGUAGGUGGCAAGCGUUGUCCGGAAUUAUUGGGCGUAAAGGGAGCGCAGGCGGGAAGGUAAGUCGGUCUUAAAAGUGCGGGGCUCAACCCCGUGAUGGGAUCGAAACUAUCUUUCUUGAGUGCAGGAGAGGAAAGUGGAAUUCCUAGUGUAGCGGUGAAAUGCGUAGAUAUUAGGAGGAACACCAGUGGCGAAGGCGACUUUCUGGACUGUACCUGACGCUGAGGCGCGAAAGCGUGGGUAGCAAACGGGAUUAGAAACCCCGGUAGUCC